rnacentral:lncRNA from 1 species
UUUGAGAGUUUUGUGAAGCCCUUCUUGAUUAUGUAUGUAGGGAAUAAGGCAAACCAGAAUACCAUGGGAGUCAGUAAAAUGAGAUACGGAGGCAAUUUCUCAUGAAAGGGAUGUUCUUCCUCACUUUUCUCUUUUUUAAGCCAUUCAAUUUGUAUUAAAGUGUCCUGGAAAAUAGUCAUUCACACUAAUGGAGAAUUUUUACAUUUUUCUGCAGUAGUGGUGGGGGUGGUGGAGGAGGCGGCGGCGGUGGAGGUGGAGGUGGUGGCAGACGUCGAGAUUCUUACUAUGAUAGAGGAUAUGAUCGUGGGUAUGACAGAUAUGAAGACUAUGAUUACCGAUACAGAAGACGAUCACCUUCUCCUUAUUAUAGUCGAUAUAGAUCACGAUCAAGAUCUCGUUCCUACAGCCCAAGACGCUAUUGAUAACGGAAUGGUUGCAAUUAAGGACAUUUUUUUUCCUCUUUUUUUUUUUUUUUUUUUUAAUUCUGAGAUUUCCCCAAGCUGUGGAUUCUUCCUACUCCUUAAGAAAAAAACUUUGGUUUAUUUAGCAUCUACACUUUUGUCAGUUGUGUUGCUGUUUUCCACCCAUUUUAUUAUACUCUUAAAAGAUGUAAUUGUUGUCAUUUUGAACAGUUAAACAUCUUGAGUAUAAAAAGAACCCC